rnacentral:lncRNA from 1 species
GAAAAAAGCAAAAAGAAUAUUCAAUAACCGUACAAGCAUUUUGUAUUGAUGCAUACGGCUUUUGCACCUAUGCAAUUCAUCUUUUCCUAAAAGUAUUUUAUUCGAUGAAUUUUGUUUCUACAUUUACAAAUUUAUUUUUUUCUAUCAAAGAAAAAAGAAGUACAAAAUCUACUGGGUCUUUUGGAUCCGGAUCCUUAAAUAAUAAACAAUAAAAUCACCAACUUUCUUUUUUCUUUUUGAAUCUAUUUUCAAAUACUACGAUGGUUCCGUUGUUUUUUAUAUCAUUUUGGUAUUCAACAAUCCAAUUUUUUUUUUUUUUCAUAUGUUAUGUUUUCUUCUGAUUCAAAUAAAAAUUGUUAAAAGCUUUCUGGUAUGAAAAAAAACAAACAAGUCUGCGACACUAAAAUUAAACUAGGUUCCUUAUCGAUCAGAUAAAACGGUAAAUACCCUCUUUUUCAUACUACUCUUUCUAUAUAUAAUUCAAUAAUUUAAACAAAUUGCAUAUGGAAUUCAAAAUACCAUGCUAUUAUUACUUUGGUUUUUAUGGCGAAGGUAUAGUAUAUAUAUAUAGAUAUCUAUUCUAUA